GUGGCAUUAGCUCAGUCGGUAGAGUGCCUGGUUGUGGCCCAGGAGGUCAUGGGUUCAAGUCCCAUAUGCCACCCCA
rnacentral:tRNA from 1 species